CCUACGGGUGGCAGCAGUGGGGAAUAUUGGGCAAUGGGCGCAAGCCUGACCCAGCAACGCCGCGUGAAGGAAGAAGGCUCUCUGGUUGUAAACUUCUUUUCUGAGGGACGAAGAAAGUGACGGUACCACAGGAAUAAGUCACGGCUAACUACGUGCCAGCAGCCGCGGUAAUACGUAGGUGGCAAGCGUUAUCCGGAUUUAUGGGGUGUAAAGGGAGUGUAGGCGGGAAAGCAAGGCAGAUGUGAAAACUCAGGGCUCAACCCUGAGCCUGCAUUUGAAACUGUUUUUCUUGAGUGCUGGAGAGGCAAUCGGAAUUCAUGGUGUAGCGGUGAAAUGCGUAGAUAUACGGAGGAACGCCAGUGGCGAAGGCGGAUUGCUGGACUGUAACUGACGCUGAUGCGCGAAAGCGUGGGGAGCAAACAGGAUUAGAUACCCCAGUAGUC
rnacentral:rRNA from 1 species